rnacentral:rRNA from 1 species
CCCUUAGAUGUUCUGGGCCGCACGCGCGCUACACUGAUGCAUUCAACGAGCCUAGCCUUGACCGAGAGGUCCGGGUAAUCUUUGAAACUGCAUCGUGAUGGGGCUAGAUUAUUGCAAUUAUUAAUCUUCAACGAGGAAUGCCUAGUAAGCGUGAUUCAUCAAAUCGCGUUGAUUACGUCCCUGCCCUUUGUACACACCGCCCGUCGCUCCUACCGAUUGAAUGUGUUGGUGAGGAGCUCGGAUUGGCAGCAGUUGGUGGUUCGCCACCGGCUAUUGCUGAGAAGUCCUCCAAACCGCCCCAUUUAGAGGAAGGAGAAGUCGUAACA